GGGCCUGUGGCGCAGCUUGGGAGCGCGCUUCAAUGGCAUUGAAGAGGUCAAGGGUUCGAGUCCCUUCAGGUCCACCA
rnacentral:tRNA from 1 species